rnacentral:lncRNA from 1 species
UAAAUGAAAUAGCAGCUUUAAAAGUAUUUCUGUAUCCAGCAGCUCUUUCACGCUGAUUUGAAUUCUAAAUGUGACUCCAUCUGUUUCUGAGGCCGCCAGCACCUCGCAGGCGCCCGGCUCGCAGUAGAUGGCGGCGAGGGCCGACAGCUCCUCCAGCGCCUGCUCCGACAUGGCCGCGCCCGUCCGCAGCCGGCUCCGCCCGCGGUUGCGUCUGGGGGCGGUGGCAGGGCGCGACGUUGCGCUGCCCCUUGGCUCAGGCGGGCGGGGAGGGCCGUGAGAGGGGUACGGCGGUGGGAUGGCGCGGGAUGGGGGCGCCCCGCGAGCCCUGAGGUAGCUGCUGGCCGUGGGCUGCACCAGGAGCAGACAUACCACCCUCAGCUGCCACGCGGAGCCGCCGCCAUUUUGUCCGGCAGCCCCCGCGCUGUGCAUUGGGGUGCGGCCACGGCCCGACGCUGGGUGCAGGGGCGUCCUGCAUUGCCCGGCACUUUGUAAAAAAACGUUCCUAGGUAUAAAGGUCCACGUGACAAUUUCUGGAAUGCCCUACAUAGAGCCAUACCACAUAACAGCACUGGCGAUGAGGGGUUGGUGUAAUGACCACCCCUGCGCCAGAAGCCGGCCCUUCCCUCCCGCCGAGGUACACGCAGGAACAUGGAGCUGCCCUACGCAGCCGUAGCACAGCUUGGAAACACAGCAUGCAGUGGGCGUACCAGAAACACCAUCAGAGCUGUGCUACAGCUUCACACAGCUGAGCAAACCGCACAGGGAGAUGGUGACAUGUACAGGUGUACACAUACAUAGACAUUAGUACAGCAGUGAUGUGGGCAAGGAGCUACCAGGUCAGCCCCAGCUGUUGGCAUCAGUGCACAGAGAGCCUCGGUGGAACUGAUCUCCAUUCUUGCAGUCAGCGAUGGUGCCUGUAUGGUUCUCCUGGUGGUCAUCUGGCUGAGGCCUGCUACAGGCAACAACACCACAUACAGCUAUCUCAUGGGUAUUAUUCGGCACUUUCCACAUUUUAAGGGCCCCCAGCUGGAAACACGAGCACAGGAGGCUGAAAGGUUAGACAGCAGUGGGUGUGUGUCACUGAAGUUUGUUACAAAUCACUUGGAAGCAAGGGAUGGGUGGCUUAUUUAUUCAGCAAAGCAUAUUAUACUAUUUUUAAUGCCUUAAGUUCCGUUGAAAUACCGAGAAAUGCUGGGGUGCUGAGUGGGGAACAAGUGAAGAACAUGCACAGACAUAAGACUGGAGCUGUCAAAAGUGCUGCAAGGCAGCAGUCCGUGCAGCUGUUCAGAAGGCUUUGUGGAAAUUAGCCUUAGAAGUGCCUCAUUCUAUUACUGAGAACUUUCUUGCCCCUGGUCUUUCCCCCUUCUCCUCAUCCACUUUGCAUAUUCCAUUUUACAUGUUUAAAUAAAAAAAAGUUGAUGUAAAUGUCUUCUAAAUUGACACUAUCACAAGACAUUGAGGUCCCUAUGAAUAAGUUACUGCACUCUGACAUUUGGAAGUCAUCAAAUGAGACAGUAUAAUGUCAGCUUGAUAUUUUUCACACUAUGAAAAUAUCACCUUCAUGUCAAAGAUCUAAAUUCCAUCUUAAUGUAAUAAAUUUUCUUGUAUUCACAGACUAGUGAAAAUGCUAAAUAUUUAAAUUUGAAAUGAACUUCUACAGCUACGAUAUGGCCUUCAUAUUCCAUUAUUAUUAAAUUGGAACUCAAGAUCUAUCCUCCC